CUCGCGCAGGUGCGCAGGCCGAUAGAUGCGUCGAUGCAUCCAAAGUCUUAAUUAGUUCCAGGCUCGAACGGGAUGGGUUCGCGCGAUAAAUUUCGCGUUUUUUCUUCCCGGGAGCGAACCGCGAACGGUAGGCGCUUUAAAAUUGUGCACAGCGACCGAAGCAGGUGAUAGGACUGAAGAGAGAGGCCCAUCGAAGAGCCUAGCGAGUGUGUCAGGUGUUUGGUGGAUCGUUGAAUGCGCGCGUACACGAUCGUGUAACGGGUGUCUCUAAUUUUCCGAAAUGAACAGUAUCGGUGCGUUUACGUGUAUUCGCGAUCGCAAUCGCGAUCGACUCGCCUUCGAUCCAUGCACACCCCUUGCGCACGCUGCAAUCACACGUCGAUGCUAGGGUUGGGACCAGGGAUGGGCAAAAUUCUCAUCUAGAUAAGACGGUGUUACUUGAUUUCUUAGAAACUAAUGAAGAUAUCUCCGCGACUACAAGGGAGAACCACUUAAAUUUUAGGCAAAUAUAUAACUACGUAUGGAAGAUAUGCAGUGCUUCACGUUUCACGAGUCCAAAGUAAAGAUUUCCGUUCCAAAUGAAUGACCAACACCGUCGAGAAGGAAGAAAAGCUACGCGAGAACGAAUGUUUCUUCUCAUUGGAUCAUUUGUCGGUUGUCGUCCAAGGGAAGUGGUCUCAAUUCGCAACCAUUAACGCUGUUAUCGUUGCCCGAUCUCGGCGAAGGGGCUGCCCGUCACAUCAGGUGCAAAUUUCGAUAGAGGCUGAGCAACCGGUGUUCGAACGAGGAAAUUUCAAAGACAAGCGUUACGACAGGUGGACAGAGGUGUGCCCUGUCUUGGCCAUAAACCGGAAGUUGUUCGAGCACGCGAGCAUGGAGUAGCUUGCCAACGGGCACGCGUCGUCUCCCCCAUUGUUACAAAUGCUAAUUCAUUAUUGAAAUCAAGCAUUAAUGCAGCCCCCAUGUUCGAUUUCCCUCGUGACAACCUCGUUGGGUGGGUUGCCUGUUAGCAGGCGUAGCCUUCUCACAGUCGCCGACUGGCGCCCGCGGCGGUCGGUCGUGCUCGUCUAACGCGUGCAGUAGGGAAUGCGAUAGGGUAGAAAUUUGCGAGAAAGAAGGAAGACAGUGUUCGGUGGAGUUUGCUCCUGUCUCCUCGCUGAGAGAAAACAGCUCGCGUGACAACGGCGUGUGCCCGCGGGGGCGUUCGCUCGAAUCCUCUCGUUCGAGUUCCCCGAAUCGCAUGCACAGCACAGAGGUAAACCGUGAUGGUCUGCGUGGUUCGCAGCCGUGGCGAUUUCAAGGAAGCUGCCAAAGCACCAGCAGCAGCAGCAGCAACAUCAGUCGCUUUACCACGGUCGUUCAAGAGCCACGGGGCUGAGAGUCCCGGACGGGAAGAGCGCACGGCUUAAACGUGGGCGGAUCGGCGGCCAGUCGCCCCGGGUGUUUCUCACCCGCAUACCACGCAUACGUGCCGCUCAUCUUCGGCCCUUUUCUCUUUCCCCUGCGUCUCUGCCCCCACUUCGCCCCCGUCCCUGACCCCGAACACGAACCCCAACCCCACCUUCGCCGGAGACCAUCGCCUCCCGCUCUUUCUCUACCGCUACUCCUUAUUCCCUUUCCUCCCUUUGUUCCAGCGAUCGCUUUCUCGGGAUCCAUUCCUCCGCCUCGCCUUUUUUGCAUAUCUUCCCCCGCCCGCGGCUUCUGCUUCUGCUUCUACGCUUACUCCUCCCUCCAACUCCAAAGAGUUCGAGCUCUGCGCUCAUCCACGUUCCGGCCUUCCCCCGUGGACCAAGAAGGAUCAAGGGGGUUGUGUCGUGCGACUGAAAGUCGACGGUAUGCGACCGGCUUUACGUUCGUUUGGUCGUCGUAAAGCUCGCACGAUUAUCGGUCCGAAAAUUCCGUAAUCGGCGGCGCAUUCUUGCGAAAUUACUGACCAAGUAGAUUGCUCGAAGUUCAUGUUACGCACGAUUCCGUUUCGAAAUCGAAAUCGUAGGGAGGGUGGGAAAGAGAAGAAGCAUUGGUGGCGAUAGCAGCAGAAAGGAGACUCGAACGUUAGCCGGUAUUGCCUCAGGGAUGUUCCCAUGAGUCGGGGGCGGCCAGGGCAGCAGUUCGCUGCGCUGAAAGUUGUUCUUUGACCACUCGAGGGCAUCGGCGUCCCUCGAGAUCGGUGCGUGCAACCGGCCAUUCUCGAGCGCGUUAUUACAAGAAUCCUUAAUAAUCGCCCUCGACUACUCUCCCCCCAGUAUUCCGGCGUCCAACUACUGGGCCAAUUGCUUUGAAUAAAUUGCGCAAUCCUCUCUCGCGAUCAUUGGCCAUUUUUAUUAAAUAAUCAUUAUUUAAAUGUAGUAUUUGUUGCUUUAAUAUUCUGAAGAUACUUCAAGAGGAAUAUCCAACAUUUUUUGAAUUUCUGAGUCUUCUAACUUACUUUAUUUAUACUUACGUUAUUCAGGUGAAAUGGUAUAUUAUUAAAAUCAAGGAAGUAAAAAAAGGUGUGGAGUUAUCUACAGCGUUCAUUCCUCUAUUAGUGAUGACACUUCACGUACUGGCCACUAGAGGGCCACGUUUCUCGCAUCUUCUAGAACUGCGUGAUUCUAUAUAUACUAAUCUGCAAAGUUAGAAACUCGUACCGUGUUAGGCGUCGUAGACGUUAUUAGGUGGUAUUGUGAAUGAUACUACUGUACGUA